UGGACCGUGCGUGCAAGAAUUUUCCCGCACUCAUUCACGCCGAGGAGUAAGAGGGGAACCCGCGAUAAAUCGUUCGUUGGAAAUAUUCACACGAGAAGGAAUUAUUCUCUACACUUCAUAAGACCAGAGAAGAACGCAACCGCCACAGAACCGCAACGUACCUAUCUACCGCCUCGCCGCCCUCCGCUCGGGCGCCAAGAUCCAUUUUUCUUCUUCCAUACGGAAACCUUAGCUGCGAUGUGGACGAGGUCGUUGGUCCAAGCCGCUGCCUCAUUGUCCUCCUCCGUCGCCGCCGCCUCCUCCACCACCUCGCCGAUGUGUUUUUCAUCAUCAAUCCUCAUGAAUUAUCCCCUGCCUUCCGCCCUGUCGCGUCCACGAUCUCUCAGUUCACUAAGCUCUUCUUCUCCUGAUGCACAGUUAUAAAGAAAGAUGACUGGAUCUCAAGCAACUAGUAGUGACUGUCACUUUCCUGGCUGUGGCCACUGAAUUUCUAAAUGGCCUGGGAGGAUCACAGUUCGCAAUUGUGCUAAUCUUAUCAUGCAUCUCAGAAUUUCUAUAUCACGCAAUAAUUGGAAAAUGAGGAUACUUUGCAUGUUAUGCAUGAAGUGUGAUUGAGCAUGUUGCACCAUGCUUCUCUCUCUGAUGUGGAAAUCUGGUUGUGGGUGAUGUAUGAUGCAACUGGCGUCAGAUUGCAUGCUCGUCGUCAAGCAGAGGUGCACUGCUACUUCUUGGUUCUCUUUUGCAAACUGGCCAGCCGCUCCCUUUGAGUUCUGUCUGUUGCUUUGGGCUUGUAAUUUCUGUAGAAUCUUCUGUUUUCAACCAUUAGUGGCUUGGCGUAGGUUUUAAAUCAAAUCAUGUACGGACUUCCUGCUGAACAUCCUCUGGGCAAGAGCAGGCCAUUACACGAACUCUUAGGCUAUACUACUCCUCAGGUUCCAUUUACAGCCUUUUGUUAAUCUUCUGUAUGGCAUCUUAUUAUCUAAAUUAUAGCGUUCUUUCUUUGUGAGA